UUUUAGUUAGCCGCCAGGCUAACAAGACAUUUGCCCUGGGCAUUUGGGGGUGGCUUUUUUUCCCGCCCGCUGGAAAAUGCCGCCCAAGGCAAAUGCCUUGUUAGCCUCACAGCUAAUACAGCCCUGGCAGUGAGGGCUUAGGAGUUAGCUAAUGGGGGCGUCCCUUCUAGGAAACAUAGCGUAGAUUAGGGUAGAUAGGAUGCUGA